CUGAUUUUGCAAAAAUUCACCAAUCGAGAAGCAUUCUUUUCCUUUUAAAGUGGAAUAUUGAUUAGGGUAGAAAUCUGAUUGGACCAGGUGUCCUGCUGGGUACAAGCUCACCUGCAAAGUUUGUUACAGUAUAGGAUAAAACUGCGCCGAACAGUGACAGCUGUACUGGAUUCAUGAAGACCCAGGGACCUGGUACCUUGUUGUCAGUUAAUUAUCAUCAAAACAAGAUAUAGCACGGACUAAUAAGGAAAGUAAGGCAAACAAUUUGAAAUGGAGGGAGUACGAUUUUGCUAGUCAUCCAUCAACUAUAAGAAAAAUUGGAGAAAUUUUAUAUUCUGAAUUACUCGUAUAUAGAUGAUAGAGUUACCAUGAGGAUUUUUCCAAGACUUCUUGUAUUUCCGUUAAGGGAAACUCAUAUAUUUGCUUAAGAUUUCAUGACCAAGUUGUAUCUGAGUUGAUACAUUCUUAGCAAUGUCUGUGGAAGAAAGUGAUGAUUCUUUAAUUUCAGUUACUCUUAAAGAAAGGUAAUAUAUGUGUGCUUGACUUGGUUGAUUUAGUUUCUUAAAUUGUCAUACAUACGUGAAAUCCCUACACACUGAAAUUGCCGAGUCUCAGCAACUUAGAUGAAGUCAUACAUCCUUGUUUUCCACCACCCAUAGAACUGCCUAUUAAAUCUAGGUGGUCUAGUUGUAGAUUGCCCUUCUUCCAGAUUAGUUGGAGCAACCAUGAUAACCAAAUCACUCUAGGUGUUAGCCUUUUAAAGUGUUCUAGCUCUGAUACCAAUUGAUGAAACAUAAGGGAGUUGCACCACACUAUGAGGGACCAGGUACUUUAGAGUCAGACAUAGGCAAUAAAACAGUAAACUAAAACCUUGUAGGAAGUAAAGAACUCAAUGAUUUAACGUGAAAGCCUCCUUACUCAAGGGAAGAAAAACCACGACUUGCUCCCACAAGCAUUCAACAACAAUCUACUAUAAUCAAACUCUUGAUUAGAGACUCGAUUUGAACCUAACUCUAGGCUCAGCUAGUUUGUAACAACUCUAUUACAAACCUACCUUGACAACUUUGCCAAGAACUCACCUUGAUAUUGAUUAACUCUAACCAAUAUCAAACUAAGUUAACUCUACCUAAGCACUCUCAAGAACACAAAAAGAUAAUACUCCUAUAACACGAGUAAUUCAGUUACAGAUCAUGACUUGACUCUUUCAGUACAUGAAGAAAUUAAGAACUUGAGCAAUAUUGCAAAGUUGAGUUUUCGCCUAUUUCCCUCUCCUCGCUUCUGAUUUUGCAAAAAUUCACCAAUCGAGAAGCAUUCUUUUCCUUUUAAAGUGGAAUAUUGAUUAGGGUAGAAAUCUGAUUGGACCAGGUGUCCUGCUGGGUACAAGCUCACCUGCAAAGUUUGUUACAGUAUAGGAUAAAACUGCGCCGAACAGUGACAGCUGUACUGGAUUCAUGAAGACCCAGGGACCUGGUACCUUGUUGUCAGUUAAUUAUCAUCAAAACAAGAUAUAGCACGGACUAAUAAGGAAAGUAAGGCAAACAAUUUGAAAUGGAGGGAGUACGAUUUUGCUAGUCAUCCAUCAACUAUAAGAAAAAUUGGAGAAAUUUUAUAUUCUGAAUUACUCGUAUAUAGAUGAUAGAGUUACCAUGAGGAUUUUUCCAAGACUUCUUGUAUUUCCG
rnacentral:lncRNA from 1 species